rnacentral:rRNA from 1 species
AUUGAACGCUGGCGGCAUGCCUUACACAUGCAAGUCGAACGGUAACAGGUCUUCGGAUGCUGACGAGUGGCGAACGGGUGAGUAAUACAUCGGAACGUGCCCGAUCGUGGGGGAUAACGAGGCGAAAGCUUUGCUAAUACCGCAUAAGAUCUAUGGAUGAAAGCAGGGGACCGCAAGGCCUUGCGCGAACGGAGCGGCCGAUGGCAGAUUAGGUAGUUGGUGGGGUAAAGGCUUACCAAGCCUACGAGAUGUAGCUGGUCAGAGAGGACGACCAGACAGACGGGGACUGAGACACGGCCCAAACGCCUACGGGAGUCAGCAGUGGGGAAUUUUGGACAAUGGGCGCAAGCCUGAUCCAGCCAUGCCGCGUGCAGGAUGAAGGCCUUCGGGUUGUAAAAUGCUUUUGUACGGAACGAAAAGCCUUGGGAUAAUACCCUGAGGUCAUGACGGUACCGUAAGAAUAAGCACCGGCUAACUACGUGCCAGCAGCCGCCGUAAGAC